rnacentral:rRNA from 1 species
UACGGGGGUGCGAGCGUUGUCCGGAAUCACUGGGCGUAAAGGGCGCGUAGGUGGUUUGAUAAGGCUGUGGUGAAAGCCCGGGGCUCAACCCGGGUCUGCCGUGGCGACUGUCAGACUGGAGGGCUCGAGAGGCAGACGGAAUUCGGGUGUAGCGGUGGAAUGCGUAGAGAUCCGGAAGAAGACCGGUGGCGAAGGCGGUCUGCUGGCGAGUACCUGACACUGAGGCGCGACAGCGUGGGAGCAAACAGG